GCCGUCCAGACCUGGAGGACCAGGCUUUGCUAACGAAGAUGACCAUGUGCCCCUUUAUUCAGUCCUGUCAUUGUCAUCGUCCCCAAGAGUGGCCUUGUUACUAUUCCCGAACCUCAUCACGUCAUUCUGUCGGCACUAAGGGAAAGCCACAAGAAUCAAUAGGUUCUUGGCACCAGGAGGCCCAGCAAGCUAAGGAGUGUGUGCCACCAUGAGGAGCUUCUCGGUGAUCAGUGGAAAUAGGAAUGGAGCUCUCCUUUCUGGAUGUGCAGGGUAAAUUUGAGAUAAAGAGUCACAGUAAAUGGUAUGAUACUGCAUGUGAG
rnacentral:lncRNA from 1 species